UACGUAGGGUGCAAGCGUUUAAUCGGAAUUACUGGGCGUAAAGAGUGCGUAGGCGGUUCUCCAAGUCCGUUGUGAAAGCCCCGGGCUCAACCUGGGAAUGGCAGUGGAAACUAGGGGACUGGAAUCUGGCAGAGGGGGGUGGAAUGCCGCGUGUAGCAGUGAAAUGCGUAGAGAUGCGGCGGAACACCGAUGGCGAAGGCAGCCCCCUGGGCUGAGAUUGACGCUCAGGCACGAAAGCGUGGGGGAGCAAACAGG
rnacentral:rRNA from 1 species